rnacentral:rRNA from 1 species
UAGGGAAUCUUCCACAAGGGACGCAAGUCUGAUGGAGCAACGCCGCGUGAGUGAAGAAGGGUUUCGGCUCGUAAAGCUCUGUUGUUAAAGAAGAACGUGGGUAAGAGUAACUGUUUACCCAGUGACGGUAUUUAACCAGAAAGCCACGGCUAACUACGUGCCAG